CUCAUCUUUUCUUUCUUUGUCUUUCUGGAUCAGGCUUGACACUUCCUAAGAGAACAUGUCUGCUAUUUUGCAGCAUGCCAAUUGGCAUUUUUCUGGGUUUUACUCAUGGUUCGAUUUACAUUAUGCCUACCUCCUCAGAAUGCAAGCAAACAAUGCUUUUGGAGCUAAGAAAGAAGCAACAUCAAAGGAACUGAUAGGAGCAUCAUCCUUAUUUCUUGGCUUAGUUCCCCAGUCUAAAUACAGAAGGCAUGUCCUUUAAAAGCCAUAUAAAACUGUC
rnacentral:lncRNA from 1 species